rnacentral:tRNA from 1 species
CGAGCUGUGGGCCAGCGGCAAGGCCACCUCAUUUGGGAUGAGGGAAUCGGGGGUUCGAGUCCCUCCAGCUCGA